rnacentral:tRNA from 1 species
GGAUUGUGGCUCAGUGGUAGAGUACUUGCCUAGCAUGUGUGAGGCACUGGAUUCAAUCCCAGCACCA